UGGGGAAUUUUGGACAAUGGGGGCAACCCUGAUCCAGCCAUCCCGCGUGUGCGAUGAAGGCCUUCGGGUUGUAAAGCACUUUUGGCAGGGAAGAAACAGCCUGGGCUAAUAUCCCGGGCGACUGACGGUACCUGCAGAAUAAGCACCGGCUAACUACGUGCCAGCAGCCGCGGUAAUACGUAGGGUGCAAGCGUUAAUCGGAAUUACUGGGCGUAAAGCGUGCGCAGGCGGUUCGGAAAGAAAGGUGUGAAAUCCCAGGGCUUAACCUUGGAACUGCACUUUUAACUACCGGGCUAGAGUACGUCAGAGGGGGGUGGAAUUCCACGUGUAGCAGUGAAAUGCGUAGAGAUGUGGAGGAAUACCGAUGGCGAAGGCAGCCCCCUGGGAUGAUACUGACGCUCAUGCACGAAAGCGUGGGGAGCAAACA
rnacentral:rRNA from 1 species